GGAGGCGGCGACGCCCCCCCGACUUGAGGUCAGCGCAAGCUGGCCUGCUGCCUCCGCACCCCCCACA
rnacentral:sRNA from 1 species